rnacentral:rRNA from 1 species
AUUGAACGCUGGCGGCAGGCCUAACACAUGCAAGUCGAACGAGUGGCGGACGGGUGAGUAAUGUCUGGGAAACUGCCCGAUGGAGGGGGAUAACUACUGGAAACGGUAGCUAAUACCGCAUACCAUCGGAUGUGCCCAGAUGGGAUUAGCUAGUAGGUGGGGUAACGGCUCACCAAGGCCACAAUGCAUAGCCGACCUGAGAGGGUGAUCGGCUACACGGUGACUGAGACACGGCCCAGACUCCUACGGGAGGCAGCAGUGGGGAAUCUGCGGCAAUGGACGAAAGUCUGACCGAGCAACGCCGCGUGUAUGAGGAAGGCCUUCGGGUUGUAAAGUACUUUCAGCGAGGAGGCGUUACUCGCAGAAGAAGCACCGGCUAACUCCGUGCCAGCAGCCGCGGUAAUUC